rnacentral:rRNA from 1 species
UACAGAGGGUGCAAGCGUUAUUCGGAAUUAUUGGGCGUAAAGAGCACGUAGGUGGUUCGGUAAGUCAGAUGUGAAAUCCCUGGUCUCAAUCCAGGAAGUGCAUCUGAUACUGCCAGACUAGAGUAUAGGAGAGGAGAGCGGAAUUCCCGGUGUAGAGGUGAAAUUCAUAGAUAUCGGGAGGAACAACAGAGGCGAAGGCGGCUCUCUGGACUAUUACUGACACUGAGGUGCGAAAGCGUGGGGAGCAAACAGG